UGACUUCCAAUUAGUCUGAUUUCUUG
rnacentral:piRNA from 1 species